AUUGGAUAUGAUCAUUUUGUGAUACGGAACUAGAUUUAUUAACUUCAACGACAUCUCAAUCCCAGGGGGUGACGACAAAGGUUUCACGGAAAAUUUAUGGCAAUGUAAUUUUUGGUUCCAGAGGAUUUUCGCACUCGGUGAUGUUGCUUUGAGCUAUUCAAAAUGAUGCCUACCUCGGAAAAUAAACUGUGAAUGUUUAUUUCAAUAAGCUGGCCAUAGUUAAAUCUAAGGAUUCAAAAAAAGUCGUAUGGAUAAUUUUUGAGCAAGCGCCUUGCAUAAGGAUGUUUCACCAGUACCGGUUGGCUCUGUGAAAGUUUUAAAGAAAAGCUCAACUCAUUCUUCUGGAUAUUUGCAGUAGAUCACGUGAAGACAAACAUGAUGUACUAUGAGUGGUAAAUGCUGGUGUUUGAUUGGCUUCGUUGUUUGUUUUCGAGUGACGUCACAGCGGUACACAAACAUGGUAGCCUUGACGUCAUUUAAUAGUUGGCUCGUUAAAACACCAUCACGUCUCUCGCGUUUCAUUCUAUAUGAUUGUAGCUAA